CGACUGAACGAGCAAGCCCCACGGCGCAGCGAGGCGGAGGCGCAGGCUAGCAUCUCGGCCUCCGCCACCCACGGCCGGACGGCCCCGCCCCCGCCGCAUUGCCCCGCGCCGCUGGGCCGGCAUCCGCCGUCCCGACGCGAGAGGGAAGAGGCCUCAGAGCAGCGGGGGCCCUGGCUCGGGGCAGCCUGCGCCUCGCCGCGGGAUCGGAGGAGGGAGGAAGAGGCGGAGGCGGCCGGGCGCGCGGGCAUGUGCGAUCUGGUGGCCCGCACGGGCCGGCACCUGCAGCGCUACGAGGACGGCCGUCGCCUUGUGGCCGGGUGCAUACCAUUUAGAUAUAGAGACAUUAAAGAUGAACAAAAGAAACUUGUUGAAGUUCUCAUGAUCAACUCCCAAAGUGGACCAGGUCUUCUAUUUCCAAAGGGAGGAUGGGAGAAUGAUGAAACUGUUGAAGAGGCAGCUGCACGAGAAGCUAUCGAAGAAGCUGGAGUUCGAGGAGAUUUAGUGAAACUGUUGGGCUUCUAUGAUUUCAAGACCAAGCAACCUGAAGGUAUGUGCAGAGCUGCUGUCUUUGCGCUGCAUGUGAAGGAAGAGCUGGCCUCCUGGCCUGAACAGAGCACCCGGCAGAGGAGUUGGCUCACAGUUCCUGAGGCAGCAGAGCGGAGUCGUCAUCCGUGGAUGCAAGAAGCCCUUGUUACAGGCUUCUCUGCCUGGCUUGAGAACUGGAGCGAUGGUGGUGGCUGUGUGAAUCGAAGCGAAAGAUGACGACACCUAAAGCAUCAGGGGGCAUCUGCUUUUUCUCUCCCCCUUUCACCUUGCUUGGACUAAACUUCCAGAACCUGACAUACCUGAGGGCUCUCUGAUGCUCAGUAGUUUGUUUGUUCACCCAUCAUUUCAGGACACAUUCUAUUCUGUGUCAUCAACCGACCCGAGAAUUGUCAGAAUUGUAAGUUGCUGAUUCUCGCGGUCACCAGCUAUUUUACUCCUGACUUAACAUUUUAACAGCAAAUACUGUGUUGCAACUUGUUAUGGAAGUGCGUUUGUAACGACAAUAGUAAAAGUUAUGGAUUGCCUUGUUGGUCAA